UACAGGGGGGGCAAGCGUUGUUCGGAAUUACUGGGCGUAAAGGGCUCGUAGGUGGCCAACUAAGUCAGACGUGAAAUCCCUCAGCUUAACUGGGGAACUGCGUCUGAUACUGGAUGGCUUGAGUUUGGGAGAGGGAUGCGGAAUUCCAGGUGUAGCGGUGAAAUGCGUAGAUAUCUGGAGGAACACCGGUGGCGAAGGCGGCAUCCUGGACCAAUACGUGACACUGAGGAGCGAAAGCCAGGGGAGCAAACGGG
rnacentral:rRNA from 1 species